GACGAACGCUGGCGGCGUGCCUAAUACAUGCAAGUCGAGCGAGCGGAACCAACAGAUUUACUUCGGUAAUGACGUUGGGAAAGCGAGCGGCGGAUGGGUGAGUAACACGUGGGGAACCUGCCCCUAAGUCUGGGAUACCAUUUGGAAACAGGUGCUAAUACCGGAUAAUAAAGCAGAUCGCAUGAUCAGCUUUUGAAAGGCGGCGUAAGCUGUCGCUAAGGGAUGGCCCCGCGGUGCAUUAGCUAGUUGGUAAGGUAACGGCUUACCAAGGCGACGAUGCAUAGCCGAGUUGAGAGACUGAUCGGCCACAUUGGGACUGAGACACGGCCCAAAACUCCUACGGGAGGCAGCAGUAGGGAAUCUUCCACAAUGGACGCAAGUCUGAUGGAGCAACGCCGCGUGAGUGAAGAAGGUUUCGGAUCGUAAAGCUCUGUUGUUGGUGAAGAAGGAUAGAGGUAGUAACUGGCCUUUAUUUGACGGUAAUCAACCAGAAAGUCACGG
rnacentral:rRNA from 1 species